rnacentral:ncRNA from 1 species
GUACCAUGAGGGAACGUUGAAAGAUUCCAUCCUGUAAGCGACAAAAAGCAAAGAUUAUAUCUUCUACCUUUUGCAUAAUGACUUAGCUAGUCAAAUCGGACAAAAAGAAUUAAAGCCCACCUUCCCGAAAUUAAGUGAGCUAUUGUAGAACAGUUGUCAGAACGAACUCGUCUAUGUAGCAAAAUAGAUGAUUUUACAAUAGGGGUGAAAAGCCUGUCGAACUUAAUGAUAGCUGAUUGUCCCAAAAACGAAUUUAAGUUCAACUUUAAAUUUAAUUCAAGUACUAACAGACACUAUUUAAAUUUAAAUGUUACUCAAAAGAGGGACAACUCUUUUGAUACGUAGACAAACUUACCUAGAGGAUAAUGAAACACACAUAAAACAUUGUAAGCCUAAAAAGCAGCCAUCAAUUAAGAAAGCGUUAAAGCUCAAACU